rnacentral:rRNA from 1 species
GAUGAACGCUAGCGGCAGGCCUAACACAUGCAAGUCGAGGGAGGAGCCUUCGGGCUUCGACCGGCGUACGGGUGCGUAACGCGUAUACAAUCUGCCUUUCACAUAGGGAUAGCCCGAAGAAAUUUGGAUUAAUACCUAAUGGUAUAUAGAUGCGGCAUCACCUUUAUAUUAAAGCUGAGGCGGUGAAAGAUGAGUAUGCGUUCUAUUAGCUAGUUGGAGAGGUAACGGCUCCCCAAGGCGACGAUAGAUAGGGGUUCUGAGAGGGAUAUCCCCCACACUGGUACUGAGAUACGGACCAGACUCCUACGGGAGGCAGCAGUGAGGAAUAUUGGACAAUGGUCGGAAGACUGAUCCAGCCAUGCCGCGUGCAGGAAGACGGCCUUAUGGGUUGUAAACUGCUUUUGCAGGGGAAGAAUAAGGACUACGCGUAGUUUGAUGACGGUACUCUGCGAAUAAGCAUCGGCUAACUCCGUG